UUUUUUCACACCAGUGUGUAUUCUGUUUCUCACUCCGCAUACAGUGGGUUCAGGGUUACAGCUGUUACCUGUUCUCAUUUCUUAUUAGCGUGAAAACACGCCCACCUUCAACUUGUAGCUACACUCUUCAGUCCUUCAUCUCCAUCUCGCUGCAUCUCUUUUACUGCAGCCAGUCCGCCCGAUCUGACGCAGAUCCACGAACGAAGGCAGACACAUGGAAAAUGCAUUUCUUAUGCACACACACGUUUAUCGUUUGCAUUUACGCGUGUGUUGUCAACGGAGCUAUUGAAACCAUUUCAGGAAAAGUGUUGCAGUGGUUUGUGGGGUGUUAUAACACCAGUUCUGCGGGACCGGCCAGUGGUCUGUCGAAAGCCCCGGAUUGUCAAGGCCUCCAUCCCAUCACCUGCUCACAGCGCUGUCUGGAUGGCGGGUACGAUGUGGCAGCGUUGUCGGGGGAGACGUGUUACUGUGGUUAUUAUGGGAUGGAGGGGUUGGUGGCCAGGGAGUGUCCAGACAGCUCUACUAAAGGGGAGUCAGAUCCAGUCCCACAAAACAACUCUACAGGGUGGUGUUGUGACUCUGUCUGUCUGCCGUGUGGAGAUGGGAAGGACAUGUUGGCUGUAUACAGAACACUGGGGCCUUACAUCCGGAAUGUCAGCCUGGCCGUACUGACUGACACAGUGCACUCUGGGAUGCCUUUCCUCUUGGAGGUUUCUGGAUACCUGGCGGCUCCUCCCACUCAGCCAACAGGGAUAUAUGGCCUGGAAGGAGAGAACCUAUCGUCUGUGGACGUUCAAUUCAGUGGGAAGGGCCACAAAGGUCAAAGUUCACACACCGUCAUCGUCCAGGACGAUGGCUUCUUCACCUUCUCCUCUGAUUGGAUGCUGGAAAACCCUGGAACAUACCAAAU
rnacentral:lncRNA from 1 species